GGAUGAGAGAGCUUGCUCUCUGAUUCAGCGGCGGACGGGUGAGUAAUGCCUAGGAAUCUGCCUAUUAGUGGGGGACAACGUUUCGAAAGGAGCGCUAAUACCGCAUACGUCCUACGGGAGAAAGCAGGGGACCUUCGGGCCUUGCGCUAAUAGAUGAGCCUAGGUCGGAUUAGCUAGUUGGUGAGGUAAUGGCUCACCAAGGCGACGAUCCGUAACUGGUCUGAGAGGAUGAUCAGUCACACUGGAACUGAGACACGGUCCAGACUCCUACGGGAGGCAGCAGUGGGGAAUAUUGGACAAUGGGCGAAAGCCUGAUCCAGCCAUGCCGCGUGUGUGAAGAAGGUCUUCGGAUUGUAAAGCACUUUAAGUUGGGAGGAAGGGCAUUAACCUAAUACGUUAGUGUUUUGACGUUACCGACAGAAUAAGCACCGGCUAACUUCGUGCCAGCAGCCGCGGUAAUACGAAGGGUGCAAGCGUUAAUCGGAAUUACUGGGCGUAAAGCGCGCGUAGGUGGUUUGUUAAGUUGGAUGUGAAAGCCCCGGGCUCAACCUGGGAACUGCAUCCAAAACUGGCAAGCUAGAGUAUGGCAGAGGGUGGUGGAAUUUCCUGUGUAGCGGUGAAAUGCGUAGAUAUAGGAAGGAACACCAGUGGCGAAGGCGACCACCUGGGCUAAUACUGACACUGAGGUGCGAAAGCGUGGGGAGCAAACAGGAUUAGAUACCCUGGUAGUCCACGCCGUAAACGAUGUCGACUAGCCGUUGGGAUCCUUGAGAUCUUAGUGGCGCAGCUAACGCAUUAAGUCGACCGCCUGGGGAGUACGGCCGCAAGGUUAAAACUCAAAUGAA
rnacentral:rRNA from 1 species